rnacentral:tRNA from 1 species
GCCGUGAUCGUCUAGUGCUCAGCACUCUGUGUUGUGGCCUCAACGACCCCGGGUCGAAUCCGGGCCACGGCA